rnacentral:lncRNA from 1 species
AGAAACUAUUUCCUGGGCUAAGACUCCAAGUCCAGGGCUCUUGUCCCCAGAGGACCUGUCUCCUAGAGCCAGAAAGGAAUUCUACAGUGAACACAGGGUUAAAGUAAACUCUUGCAGCUGAAAGUCUGGAAUUCUGGCUAACAAUACCUAAAUAUCUUUAGUCAGCACCAAAGUGGAAAUUGUGCACUAAUUGGAGUUCAGUGAUGCAGAUAAUAUGGAAUGGAGUACACGGGCUGACAGAAAAUUCUCUCCAGCAGCUGAGCUACUUUCACUACAUUUCAGCCCUAACAACAGAACCCAAAACAAAAAAAGGUACAGAAUGUCUGCAAGUAAUCAAACACACCUGAAGACCCUUCGAGAGAUAGGAAAAUAUCAAGAUCCAGAGCACAGCUUCCGGAGCCAUUCUGCCUGGAAUCAGGUCAUCAUUCCACACCUGACCCAGGGCUUCUUGAUUCACCUAGCUUCACAAGAGCCAAGAGGAGCCUGGUGA